GAUGAAGAACGUAGCGAAAUGCGAUACGUAGUGUGAAUUGCAGAAUUCAGUGAAUCAUCGAAUCUUUGAACGCACAUUGCACCUCUCGGUAUUCCGGGAGGUAUGCCUGUUCGAGUGUCAUUUGUACCCUCAAGCUCUGCUUGGUGUUGGGUGUUUGUUCCGCCUCUGUGUGUGAACUCGCCUCAAAACAAUUGGCAGCCGGCGUACUUGUUUCGGAGCGCAGCACAUUUUGCGAUCCAGAUCAACGUACAGCGGCAUCCAAGAAGCCUUAUUUAACGCUCUUGACCUCGGAUCAGGUAGGGAUACCCGCUGAACUUAAGCAUAUCAAUAAGCGGAGGA
rnacentral:misc_RNA from 1 species